UACGUAGGUGGCAAGCGUUGUCCGGAUUUACUGGGCGUAAAGAGCUCGUAGGCGGUCUGUUGCGUCGGCUGUGAAAACCCGGGGCUCAACUCCGGGCCUGCAGUCGAUACGGGCAGGCUAGAGUUCGGUAGGGGAGACUGGAAUUCCUGGUGUAGCGGUGAAAUGCGCAGAUAUCAGGAGGAACACCGGUGGCGAAGGCGGGUCUCUGGGCCGAAACUGACGCUGAGGAGCGAAAGCGUGGGGAGCGAACAGG
rnacentral:rRNA from 1 species